GGGUGUGCCUGAACAAGAAGCAGGGAUACGUUGUAGCUGCACAUUGUACAUGUAAAGCUGGUUUGGGAGAGGCAUGCAGUCACAUUGCUGCUCUCUUGUCCAGAGUGGAAGCAGUCGGCCUCAACCAGGAAUCAAAGACAAGCUUUUGCCUGCGCCUGGAACAACUCUUACCGGGAAAAGGUCACAGUGCAGCGAAUAAUGUGGACACCAACACCAAAUAUGGCAAGACCGCCCAGUGGAAGGUCAACAAACAGAGACGCGUAGAAGUGGCUG